GUGGGAGUCUCACCCUGUUGCCCAGGCUGGAGUGCAAUGGUGCGAUCUUGGCUCACUGCAACCUCUGCCUCCCGGGUUCAAACUAUUCUCCUGCCUCAGCCUCCCUAGUAGCUGGGAUUACAAGCGCCUGCCACCACACCCAGCUAUUUUUAGUAGAGACGGGGUUUCAUCAUGUUGACCAGGCUGGUCUGCAACUCCUGAUUUCGUGAUACGCCCGCCUUGGCCUCCCAAAGGGUUGGGGUUACAGGCCUAAGCCACCACUCCCGGCUGAAAUGCAGAAGGUUUUAAAGAUGAGCUUGAGGAGGUGGUGUCUGAUUUACAUAGGGCAUGAAAGAUUGAUCGGACCAGGUGUGUUAUUUGCAUAGCACACAAAGAAGCUGGCUGCCCCACCCUAAUCUUUUCCUAUGCAGAUGGGUUUUCUACCUGCUGGAUCCAUGUUGCCUGUUCCUUUACUGUACACGUGGUGACAAAGAAAAGGGAAGAUGGAGCCUCCAUGUUGAACACGCCUGGGCCUCAAGUAACCCUUUUCUACUGGCACACCUGUGCAAGUGUCCAGCUUGCUUAUCACAGAUUACAUAGGAUUUUGAAACAAAUUGCUGAGUUCCACCUAAAGGAAGACUUUCCUAAUGCCAAUGUCAUGUUAGGAAGAUCUUUCUUCAUUUCAACUAACAAAGCGCUGGUACACUAGUGAACAAGUUAAAUAAUUGGAUAUAUAAAACCUCUUCAACUAGAAGUUUGUUGGUUUGUUUUUGAGACAAAGUCUCACUUUCACCCAAGCUGGAGUGCAGUGGUGCAAUCUCAGCUCACUGCAACUUCCGCCUCCUGGGUUCAAGCGAUUCUCCUGCCUCCGCCUCCUGAGUAGCUGGGACUACAGGGGUGGUUAGUUUUUGUAUUUUUAGUAGAGACCGGGUUUCACUAUGUUAGCCAGACUGGUCUUGAACUCCUGACCUCGUGAUCUGCCUGCCUCAGCCUCCCAAAGUGCUGGGAUUACAGGCGUGAGUCACUGUGCCCAGCCUCAACGAGAAGUUUUAAAAUAGUAAAUGGAAUUGCAUGUCUGUGUGAUUCUUAAGCCAUUUUACCUUCUCGCUCAAAGUGACUCUUAUCACUAAUACCAAAACAAUACCCAUCAUGCCAGUUGCCAUAUGUACUUCUGCCUCAUCUCCAGGGAGGUUUAGCUAAGGGGAAAUGAUGGGGUCAAAUCAAGCCGACGGAUGAACUGCAGACAGAUGGGAACUGCCCUGGGGAUGGGGUCUAUGUCCUAUUCAUUUUUACAAAUAAAGACCUGACACAUAACA
rnacentral:lncRNA from 1 species